GCGAACGGGUGAGUAAUACAUAAGCAAUCUGCCCAUCGGCCUGGGAUAACAGUUGGAAACGACUGCUAAUACCGGAUAGGUGAUGAAGAGGCAUCUCUCGAUCAUUAAAGUUGGGAUACAACACGGAUGGAUGAGCUUAUGGCGUAUUAGCUAGUAGGUGAGGUAACGGCUCACCUAGGCGAUGAUACGUAGCCGACCUGAGAGGGUGACCGGCCACAUUGGGACUGAGACACGGCCCAAACUCCUACGGGAGGCAGCAGUAGGGAAUUUUCGGCAAUGGGCGAAAGCCUGACCGAGCAACGCCGCGUGAGUGAAGAAGGCCUUCGGGUUGUAAAGCUCUGUUGUGAAGGAAGAACGGCUCAUACAGGGAAUGGUAUGGGAGUGACGGUACUUUACCAGAAACCCGGCUAACUACGUGCCACAGCCGCGGUAAUACGUAGGUGGCGAGCGUUAUCCGGAAUUAUUGGGCGUAAAGGGUGCGCAGGCGGUUUGUUAAGUUUAAGGUGAAAGCGUGGGGCUUAACCCCAUAUAGUAAAACUGACAGACUAAGUACAGGAGAGGGCAAUGGAAUUCCAUGUGUAGCGGUAAAAUGCGUAGAUAUAUGGAGGAACACCAGUGGCGAAGGCGGUUGCCUGGCCUGUAACUGACGCUCAUGCACGAAAGCGUGGGGAGCAAUAGAUUAAUACCCUAUAGUCCACGCCGUAAACGAUGAGAACUAAGUGUUGGGGAAACUCAUGCUGCAGUUAACGCAAUAAGUUCUCCGCCUGGGGAGUAUGCACGCAAGUGUGAAACUCAGAGGAAUUGACGGGGGCCCGCACAAGCGGUGGAGUAUGUGGUUUAAUUCGACGCAACGCGAAGAACCUUACCAGGUCUUGACAUCCCCUGCAAAGACAUAGAGAUAUGUUGGAGGUUAUCAGGGAGACAGGUGGUGCAUGGUUGUCGUCAGCUCGUGUCGUGAGAUGUUGGGUUAAGUCCCGCAACGAGCGCAACCCUUGUCUUUAGUUGCUAACAUUAAGUUGAGGACUCUAGAGAGACUGCCGGUGACAAACCGGAGGAAGGUGGGGAUGACGUCAAAUCAUCAUGCCCCUUAUGACCUGGGCUACACACGUACUACAAUGGCGGAUACAACGAGAAGCAAGACAGUGAUGUGGAGCAAAACUCAGAAAGUCCGUCUCAGUUCGGAUUGAAGUCUGCAACCCGACUUCAUGAAGCCGGAAUCGCUAGUAAUCGCGGAUCAGCAUGCCGCGGUGAAUACGUUCUCGGGCCUUGUACACACCGCCCGUCAAACCAUGAGAGUUGGCAAUACCCGAAGCCGGUGGCCUAACCUCGCAA
rnacentral:rRNA from 2 species